GGCAGCAUGGCAUAGUGGUUUGAAUGUUGGACUCCAACUCUGGAGACCAAGUUUCAAUUCCCAGUUCAGCCA
rnacentral:tRNA from 1 species